GCUAAAAAUAACCGGUCUGCUUUUAUUAUUAAAAGUGGUAUCUUGGUGUGUUUUUAGCAAUAAUGUCCUUUGAAAUGUUUUUUACUUUAUUGUGAGAAGCAAUUUUCAGGAUUUUUACUUUGAGAAAAUUAGAGUGUUUCAAGCAGGCUAACGUUUUGAAUACUGCAGCAUGGAAUAAUAAAAUAGGAUUUUAGUUCUACGUUAUUGGUUUUAAGAACUAAAUUAAUGAUUGAUAGGAGCAGUUGGGGGCAUUUGUAUUUAACUGUCAGAGGUGAAAUUCUUAGAUUUGUUAAAGACACACUACUGCGAAAGCAUUUGCCAAAGAUGUUUUCAUUAAUCAAGAACGAAAGUUAGGGGAUCGAAGACGAUCAGAUACCGUCGUAGUCCUA
rnacentral:rRNA from 1 species